rnacentral:rRNA from 1 species
GACGGGGGAUGCAAGUGUUAUCCGGAAUCACUGGGCGUAAAGCGUCUGCAGGUGGUUUCCUAAGUCCACUGUUAAACCUUGAGGCUCAACCUCAAAUCUGCAUUGGAAACUAGGAGACUUGAGUAUAGUAGGGGUAGAGGGAAUUUCCAGUGGAGCGGUGAAAUGCGUAGAUAUUGGAAAGAACACCGAUGGCGAAGGCACUCUACUGGCUAUUACUGACACUCAGAGACGAAAGCUAGGGGAGCAAAUGGG